rnacentral:rRNA from 1 species
UACGAAGGGUGCAAGCGUUACUCGGAAUUACUGGGCGUAAAGCGUGCGUAGGUGGUGAGUUAAGUCUGUCGUGAAAGCCCCGGGCUCAACCUGGGAAUGGCGAUGGAUACUGGCUCGCUAGAGUGCGGUAGAGGAGAGUGGAAUUCCCGGUGUAGCAGUGAAAUGCGUAGAGAUCGGGAGGAACAUCAGUUGCGAAGGCGGCUCACUGGACCGGUUCUGACGCUGAGGCGCGAAAGCGUGGGGAGCAAACGGG